AGAGAGAUCUGCUUUAAUACUGACUGUGACAGGAGUACAAGUAUCAACUUCGGCGCCUUAUGGAGUUACCCCCACUUCCAAAAUCUGGGAGCAGACUGGAUCCAGCCAUGAAAGAUUGUCCUCAAAUUAAAUCAACAUUCAGUACACACAAUUGGGCACAAAGUUUGCGCUGCCACAUUUCUAAACAGCUCUUAUUAACUGGGCACGUUGUCCCUCAUGAUGUGACUCUCCUAGCUACAGAAGUGGUACGAUUUUUGGAAAGUGCUCCAUCAGGAUAUCAUCGAGACUGGUGGCUGGAUUUGCUUGAAGUUCUACGCCUAUUGCGACCGUUUCAAGAUUGCAUGGCCAGUGAGAGGACACUUAUCUUACCUGCUUUGGAGAGGCUGUAUAGGGCCUAUGGGCAUCACCAAGUACUCCUAAUUGAUUUGGAUAUACCCGG